AACUCUCUGCUCCCCCUCCCAGAUAACCACCUCCCCACGCCCCGCCCCACUUCCCUCCCCACCUUCUCCGGCUGCGCCGCCCACCACCUCCUCUGGCCGCUCCGCCCACCACCUCCUCCGGCCGCGCCCGACGACACCACCUUCUAUGCCGGCUGCCACCCUCUUCUUUCUCCCGCACCAUAAGCGGUCAUGGUGGGCCGCGGGAUCCGGCCGCCCUCGGCCCCCGGCGCGGCCUCAGCCACCGGAUACGGCCGCCACGACCAUUGGUGCGGCAACAAACCACGGAUCCGGCCGCCACCGACCCCUCGGCGUGGAAGCCGUCCGCUCGCGCAGCCUGGCGCCUGAUCCGGCGAGGUCCACACCGGUGCCUCUAUACCGCGCCGCCGAGGCCCGGGUUGUCCUCUCCCUCUCCGGCAGGGAGGCCCCGUCGAGCAACUCCCCCGCUUGCCACCAAGAGGAGGCCGGCCAGGAGGCAGGCGCUAGCGGCCCCCUGCUGCCCGCGGCAGAUCCGACGAGCCAACCCACAUCCUCAUCUCCCUCGUGGCGGAUCCGACGAGCUCUAUCACCACGCGCUGGCGGGCGGACCCCCCUCCCUCCUCCACUCACGGCGUCGUGCGCAGGCGGCGGCGCCAUCGUUUCUCCCAGCCAUCCUCCCCCCAAGCCACGUCUGGAUGGAUAUGGUCCGCCCGCCGCCGGAUUUGGCCACGCCUUCAACCACCGCGACGUGAUGGGGUGUAGGAUCUAGGGAGGUUUCGGGGGUCAAGAAGCCGUCUACCUCGCCGGAAAUCGCCCUUCCCUCCUCCCGGCCAAUCUCCUCCACCGGAUGCCUCGCGCGCUGCUACGCCAGGCGCCGGAUCCAUCGGCCAUUCAUGCACCAGGGAUGAGCUCGGCACGCGAUUCGUUUGUGACUUGCAUCUUCUCAUUGCUUCUGCAUUUCCCCCUCAUGUCCUCUGACGAGAAACCACAUCUUGGCGUGCAGACUACUGGGAGAAACUGCAUGGAGGAAGGCUCGCUCCUGGGAGAAACUGGGUGCACUAUGGUCCUGGAGCAGGAAGAAAGUGGUAGAGUGCGGUUUGAUGCCGCAUUGCAUUUUUUCUGUUUCCCUGAUCAUACAGUUUGGACAGCGAGCCUCCCUCCGUGAAGUCCGCUGGCACAUCCAUGCAGUACAACGCGUGUGUGUAUGCGGUUCGCAACGCGUGUGUUGCCGGUGGCUGUUGUGAAGUUGAUUGUUUUUUCAUUUUCAGAAAAAUUGCAUGAGGUUGUCUGGUCGUUAGUUUUAUACUUAGUCAUGCAGUGCACUCGUAAAAGUGGUGCAGUA